GGGAAUUUGCUUGGUUCUUAUAUUUUGCUUGAUUUAAAUGCUGAAGCCACAGCAUAUUUUUUUCACUCCUUGCUUGCCUUGCCUUAAUUUGCACUCAUGUAUUCCUCCAAAAGCAGUGCCAAUGGAGAAAAAGGAGUCCAUCAGUGCAAUUACAGAUUAAGUAUAAAUCUUUCCCUCAUCUCCACAUCUCGUCUGUUCCUUGUUCACAUGAUACAGUGCUUGCCUACCUGCAGAGUAGUGGGUAGGUGGUAGUAGCCCACUGGCUUUCUGGACUAUACUGUAUUCUCUUUCCCUGAUCCCUGCAAUUGACUCUUGCUGUCCAUUAAAUCUGUAAACAACUCAUUUCUGGUCAAUGGUUUGUGCCACUAUUUAUAUUUUGCUUAGCUUCCCAGUCCAGCACUCAUACACAAGCCUCCGAGUGGAAUCACUUUCUUUUACAAAUGCACCUACUUGUUUUCCUUUAGCCUCUGUAGCUGAACAUCCUGCCUAAUGGUAAAUGCUCUUCCAGGUGGCAUCAUGGCCAGUGUUGAGCAGAUGAGUUAUUAGCUUGCCUGCAUAGAUGAGAUGCUCUUUCUCUGGUCUGACAUUACACUAACUGCAGCCUUGUAUUGUAUUUUGUUAUCUGCUGCUUCAAAAUGAAAGUCCCAGUGUAGGAUCAGUUACAUGGGAAAGCUUGAGAAGGAAAGGGAGAGGAAGUUAUUUCUUACAUUCUAUGAAUAUAAUUCACUCCUUUUAGCUUCCUCUGUCACCUCUGCUGCUGCUUGCAGCAGGAAUAGCCACAGAAGCUAGUUUGGGGAGUCAGUGCCUUUCAUUCUUAUUAAGGUAUUAAAACAAUAAUGAAGCUGUCUAGUGAAAACUCAGAGCUGAAUAAAUGAUUUAUGAAGUGUUUGGCAUUACAACUUGUGCUGCCUGGGAUGACUGUGUCUUUCCAAAAGCCACCGAGGAAUAUCCUUGCUUCAAUUUUGACCCUCUAGACACAAUCCUGGCAAAACCCCAGGCCAUUCCAGGGUCUUUAUCAGCAAUGUCUGUAGGGCAGAGCAAAAGCAGCCUGAACUGUCCUGUGCCAAGAUGGAGGCUGGCAGGGAGAGCCUGGCCCUGUGGGGGUGGUGCUGGGUCUGGCUGUGAGAAUGAACGUAGCAGAUGAUCCUUGGUUCUGGGCAUUACAAGAUAUCAAGCAGCAGUAGUAUUAAGGAGCUAGUGGUCACAGUCCUGAACAUUCAACUAUGACUGUCCUGCCCAUAAUUUGUCCUCUCCAAGGUAAGGCAUUUCCUAUGUUUUAGAAAUGUUAUGGGGCUGUGUCCAGAGGGCAGAGAUUUUAAGUGUUAAGAGUCUCUGACCAGUUGGAUCUCAUGUAAAAAGCUCAGUCCUUUAAUGAUAUGUUGGGUAACACAGUAAUUUGUUCUUCUCAGAACUGAGGCAGUGUGUGGGAGGAGCGUGACCUCUGUGGAGGCUCAGGUACGCUUAGACACUUCAUUAAGGCAAGACCUGAGUGUGUGCCAGCUGAUCCCAGGCACCAAUCCCCCUCUGCACACUCUCAGGCUCUGAGAGGUGCCAUGUGGUACUUGGCUGGAACUGAUAAGAGUCAGGCAAUGUCACAGUUGCUCAACAGUUACCCUCAGCCAUCCUGCUGAGAUGAGACAAGCUAAGUGUUGGUGUCUACCCACUAGGUGUUGGACUCCUAACCACUAAAGCCAGGGGAGCUAGGUUCUAAGAGAGCUGGCACAGAUCCACUGAAAUGAGUAGAGCCACCAGAUGUGCUGGUAUCAAUCCAUAAUUUGUCUCAUCUCAGCUUUCCUUGAGUUUGACUAAAAUCACUGUUCCACAGAGGAAAUGACCCUGUUUUCCAGUCACUACAGUGAUGCAAUCUUUGGUUAUUGUUUUUUGCUGUUCCUUGGAGAGAGCAAUUUAGCCCUAUAUGUAUCUCACAGCAAUUGUGAACCAGAAAUUCCAUUUAAUCCAAUAGAAAACCCUAAGGCUGGGAAGAGGAUUGCGCUGUGAAAGGAUGUAACUAAGGCUUUAAUGGCAAAUACGCUAGAUAGAAGAGUGAUGGAGGAAAGCAAACUUGUGUUCAAAUUUCUGGCUUGUGUCAUUUAACACUGAGAAUUACUGAAGUUAUUUACUACCAGCGCAUUCUUAGCCAUGUGAAAUGUCUCACUACUGACAUCCUUGCCUUCUGAAAACAGGUAUUUAG
ensembl:lncRNA